UACGUAGGGUGCGAGCGUUGUCCGGAUUUAUUGGGCGUAAAGAGCUCGUAGGCGGUUUGUCGCGUCGGCUGUGAAAGCCCGGAGCUCAACUCCGGGUCUGCAGUCGAUACGGGCAGACUUGAGUGUUGCAGGGGAGACUGGAAUUCCUGGUGUAGCGGUGAAAUGCGCAGAUAUCAGGAGGAACACCGGUGGCGAAGGCGGGUCUCUGGGCAACAACUGACGCUGGAGGAGCGAAAGCGUGGGGAGCGAACAGG
rnacentral:rRNA from 1 species